UAGGAAUUGAGAAGCACCCCUUGACAACAAAAAAAUGGCUUGUGACAGGCGUUGCAUGCGCAAUGAACGGUUUGCGGUUGAUUCCAGUACAGUAUAAAAUUAGUCCGCAUCAUUCCCUGACAUCUUCCUUCAAUAGAGGGCUGAAAUCUCAGUCUUGUCUCAUCGCUGUAACUCCCGUACGGCUCAACAGAGGCAAAGGUCGAGAGCCGUGCAUCCUCCAAAACACAGUUUCAUCAGCUGUCUGGGUGGCUGGUCUCAGAUGAUCCUGCAGGUGAAGAAGACCAAUGUGGAGGUCCUGGGCUGGUGUGGUUAAACAAGUUCCCUGCUAUCAUCAGAUUUGGACGGAGGAGCCUCUAUCUGAGCCAGGCUACUGUGGAAAGAGGAUUGUUGACCCUCCCUACCCACCCUGCUCAUUCCCUGAGGACCCACCGUGUUGCUGGUUGGGUGUCGCUCCCCGCUCUGCCUGGUGGUGGCCCUCGGGAGCUUUGAGCGCAUAGAGAGUGCAAUAGUGCAGCAGCCAUGACGAACGCAGUGAUGGGCGGUAGCUCGGACCGCUGGGUGCCCAACGAUAGGCAGAUGAGCAUGCAUGCCAA
ensembl:lncRNA